UACGAAGGGGGCUAGCGUUGUUCGGAAUUACUGGGCGUAAAGCGCGCGUAGGCGGACAUUUAAGUCAGGGGUGAAAUGCCGGGGCUCAACCUCGGAACUGCCUUUGAUACUGGAUGUCUGGAGUUCGGGAGAGGUGAGUGGGAAUUCCGAGUGUAGAGGUGAAAUUCGUAGAUAUUCGGAAGAACACCAGUGGCGAAGGCGGCUCACUGGACUGGUAUUGACGCUGAGGUGCGAA
rnacentral:rRNA from 1 species